GUCUCCCUCAGGUCCCCCUCAUCCCACCUCCCUUGCAAUAGACCACAGUAGCAGUUAAAUUAAGGCCCAAGAGGCAGACAUCCUGCAGCAGACUGAAAAUGCAGAAAACCAGUUGCAUGAAUGAAAUGAGAACAUGAAGACUGCUCCCUAAAAAAAAAUUGAAAGUUCUCAGCUGACCAUGUGUCGUGCAAUGACAGAAAUGUCAAGAUGAGGGUGAGGCAGAGGACAAGGACGCAGGAAAGGUGGUCCUGCCUGCAUCUACAGUCUGAUCAUCAGUCUUCAGCCCUAUCUGUGUUGCCAGUGUGGACAUUGAUGCAAAGACUUCAGGCUCAGAAGAUGACAGACCGUCUAUCCAGCCAUCACACCGAGAGCUGAAGGGGUGAAAGCGGAGGCCAGUUGUGGACCAGCCUAUAAAGACAUCGCAUUGGAGAGAUAAAAAGAACGCUUGCAGCUGAACACUGCCCUGAGUCCUAGCUACCCAUGCAUCCUGCACAUGAGUGCUUUUAGCUGCCCUCUGAGCACCAGGGACGAGGGCCAGAUUUCUGGGAGCUAAAACUGGGAAGAGCACUGAUGUUGGAUGACUCGAGGACACAAAAUAAAAAGACGACUGAAAAGAGGGCCCCGGCAGAAGAGACAAAUGAGACACAGCUCCAGAAGUCACAUGACGAUGAGGGGCUGAGUUUACCAAGUUUGCUUUCUCCAAGACCCUCAACAAUCACAAGGAUCAGAUCAGGACAGGGAGCCAGAUGAAGGACAGCCACAGGAUAGGAAUCCCCAUUUCUGAACAUGAGAUGUGGAAAGAAAUGGAAGAAGUUGGAGCAUCUGCAGAGAACCCACCCAGGUCCAGAGAGAACAUGAACUCCACACAGACAGAACCAGCAGGAUGAAGAAACAGUGAGAGGAACCCCAGGAUGAUCAGAAAUGGAAGAAUUAUGCCAAGAUGAGACACUGUUAAAGCUGUGAAAAAAAAAUCUAUGUUCAGGCAAACUGUGUGACAUCCUGAUAUCUUGAGUUAUUACUCCAAAUAAAAAGGUGGCUUGAAACUAUC
ensembl:lncRNA